rnacentral:rRNA from 1 species
UGGUAUCAGCUUGCUGAUACCGAUGGCGACCGGCGCACGGGUGAGUAACGCGUAUGUAAUCUACCUGUAACAGAGGGAUAACCCGGAGAAAUCCGGACUAAUACCUCAUAGCACAUAUUAUUCGCAUGAGUUUUAUGUUAAGGAGAUUCGGUUACAGAUGAACAUGCGUUCCAUUAGCUGGUUGGCGGGGUUACGGCCCACCAAGGCAACGAUGGAUAGGGGUUCUGAGAGGAAGGUCCCCCACACUGGUACUGAGACACGGACCAGACUCC